rnacentral:rRNA from 2 species
CGUCAAGUCAUCAUGGCCCUUACGACCAGGGCUACACACGUGCUACAAUGGCGCAUACAAAGAGAAGCGACCUCGCGAGAGCAAGCGGACCUCAUAAAGUGCGUCGUAGUCCGGAUUGGAGUCUGCAACUCGACUCCAUGAAGUCGGAAUCGCUAGUAAUCGUGGAUCAGAAUGCCACGGUGAAUACGUUCCCGGGCCUUGUACACACCGCCCGUCACACCAUGGGAGUGGGUUGCAAAAGAAGUAGGUAGCUUAACCUUCGGGAGGGCGCUUACCACUUUGUGAUUCAUGACUGGGGUGAAGUCGUAACAAGGUAACCGUAGGGGAACCUGCGGUUGGA